UGAGAAGAGACGUCAAUCAUCGAAAGGAUUAUCUUGGCGGCGAUAGUGCGGUGGUCCCACCUGACCCCAUGCCGAACUCAGAAGUGAAACGCCGUAACGCCGAUGGUAGUGUGGGGUCUCCCCAUGUGAGAGUAGGUCACCGCCAGGU
rnacentral:rRNA from 1 species